GCCCGAGUGGUGAAAUUGGCAUACACGCCUGCCUUAGGAGCAGGUGGAGCAAUCCGUGUGGGUUCGAGUCCCACCUCGGGCACCA
rnacentral:tRNA from 1 species